rnacentral:rRNA from 1 species
UACGAAGGGGGCUAGCGUUGUUCGGAAUUACUGGGCGUAAAGGGUGCGUAGGCGGUUGUUUAAGUCUGUCGUGAAAUCCCCGGGCUCAACCUGGGAAUGGCGAUGGAUACUGGGCAGCUAGAGUGUGUCAGAGGAUGGUGGAAUUCCCGGUGUAGCAGUGAAAUGCGUAGAGAUCGGGAGGAACAUCAGUUGCGAAGGCGGCUCUCUGGACCAGUACUGACGCUGAGGCACGAAAGCGUGGGGAGCAAACAGG